CUGGAGAACGGUGAGAUAACAGUCGAAACAACAUUUUAAUUUCCCUUCCCACCCAUCCCAAAAAGUUGUAAGAAUAUGUACUGCGGAAAAUGUUUUCAAUUUUUCAGGUGAGCUCGAUUCUUGGAUAUAGUGCUGCUUAUGGAAAAAGAAACAACUACAAUGGAGUGUGUUUGAAUAGACUGUCUUGGCAACUUGGGGCCAGAUAAAGUACAUUUUUGAUUACAGAACACAAGAAGAAUGCGCGUCUGGUUCCUGUGAUUGGACAUUGAAUGAUUUGAUUGGACAAUAUUAUCCACCCAUGAAUUGACAAGUUAUUCCCCUUGGCAUAGCCCCUGCUGCCUCCUUUUCGUUUUGCAUCUUUUUGAAUGAGAUUACUUGAUUGGUGAAUGGCUUCAUCAUCAGCGGAAAUUGGAUCGGUAGUUUUUAUCUCCCCCACACAAGACUCCUUAAUGAAAGUGAUGAACUUGUGGCGUAUAAAAGGGAAUCUCGUGAAUGAAAAGGUGAAGAUAACGAACAGUGAUCAAUCUCAAAACUCUCAUAAAGAAUACAAUACUAAGAGUUGGGGAAACACGGACCCCUGAAUAUACCAGAGGUGGGAUCAGGUGCCUAGGAGGAGUAAACAUCCCCUGUUGACCGGUCACACCUGUGGUGAGUCAUAUAUCCUGAUCAGAUAAACGGAGUAAUCCAUAGUCAAAAUUAGUGUGUAUAGAACAGCCUAACAAUUGGUUUCAAACACGUCAGACAGCAUUUGACCCAAUGACAGACUGUACUGGCAAAUUAGAUAGUUAUAACGACCAUAGAAUUUGCGAAAUGUUAAAUACUAAGCUUUGAUCUCUGCACCGCCAGGGUCAUUGCUUUCUAAUGUUGAACUUUAUCCUACCCUAAAUAGUGAUCUGUGAUCUUUGUGUUUGUAAAGUCAAUGAACUUUGAACUUUUAUAUUUGAACUGUGGCUGUUGUGGUUUACCUACAGUUUUGUAUGUGUAGCAUAAUCUAUGUGUGUUGUAUGUUUUUCUUUUGGGGGGCUCUUUGAUUGACGGCCCAUUGUUUGAUUUGUACUUGUAAUACAAUUCAAAACUGCUGUGCCAUAAUAUCGCCAUAAUUAUCUAUCAUAAUAAAUUUAAAA